GAACAAGGAGGCAUGCAAAGGA
rnacentral:miRNA from 1 species